GUGAGGAAUAUUGGUCAAUGGGCGAGAGCCUGAACCAGCCAAGUCGCGUGAAGGAAGAAGGAUCUAUGGUUCGUAAACUUCUUUUGCAGGGGAAUAAAGUGCGGGACGUGUCCUGUUUUGUAUGUACCCUGAGAAUAAGGAUCGGCUAACUCCGUGCCAGCAGCCGCGGUAACACGGAGGAUCCGAGCGUUAUCCGGAUUUAUUGGGUUUAAAGGGUGCGUAGGUGGUUUGAUAAGUCAGCGGUGAAAGUUUGCAGCUUAACUGUAAAAAUGCCGUUGAAACUGUCGGACUUGAGUGUAAAUGAGGUAGGCGGAAUGCGUGGUGUAGCGGUGAAAUGCAUAGAUAUCACGCAGAACUCCGAUUGCGAAGGCAGCUUACUAAGCUACAACUGACACUGAAGCACGAAAGCGUGGGGAUCAAACAGGAUUAGAAACCCCUGUAGUCC
rnacentral:rRNA from 1 species